AUUGAACGCUGGCGGCAGGCCUAACACAUGCAAGUCGAACGGCAGCACAGAAGAGCUUGCUCUUUGGGUGGCGAGUGGCGGACGGGUGAGUAAUGUCUGGGAAACUGCCCGAUGGAGGGGGAUAACUACUGGAAACGGUAGCUAAUACCGCAUAACGUCGCGAGACCAAAGUGGGGGACCUUCGGGCCUCACACCAUCGGAUGUGCCCAGAUGGGAUUAGCUAGUAGGUGGGGUAAUGGCUCACCUAGGCGACGAUCCCUAGCUGGUCUGAGAGGAUGACCAGCCACACUGGAACUGAGACACGGUCCAGACUCCUACGGGAGGCAGCAGUGGGGAAUUUUGCACAAUGGGCGCAAGCCUGUUGCAGCCAUGCCGCGUGUAUGAAGAAGGCCUUCGGGUUGUAAAGUACUUUCAGCGGGGAGGAAGGCGGUGAGGUUAAUAACCUUGCCGAUUGACGUUACCCGCAGAAGAAGCACCGGCUAACUCCGUGCCAGCCGCCGCAGUAA
rnacentral:rRNA from 1 species